GGUCAGCAAUGCUGCUCGCCACCACCACGGCAAUGGACCUUAUCCAAAGGCUGGGAGAAAACGAGGAGAGUUUGUCUACAGAGGGUGGAAGAUCUCUACCAAGUCCUUCAUAUCCAUGGUUAUCACAACCAAAGCCUCUCCAGAGGAGAGAGUGGGACAUUCCUCCAAAACCACAGGAAAGAAAGCAGAGAUUGCAGGUUCCAAACCCUCUUUUUCUGUGGACUACGGAGGGAGCCUCGCUGGUCGGCUUAGCCCUAAGGCUUCAAUGAAGACUUUGCAGAGCCCGUGGUGUACCAGCAGCUCUUCUGGACGUGCAGUUGUCAGCAAGGACUCCAGACACCAACCCAGACCACUUUCAUGGCUGGUUCAUGAUGACCCUGGCCAGGAGCACAUACCUAGACUUGCCUGGAGCAUGUACCUAGACUUGCAGGUAGGUUUUGCAGUCCUUGCUGAGUUGUCUUCACGUCAGGGUCUGAGUCAACCUGAGCUGAUUCCACAGGAGGGCAGCAGCUCCAACACAGAGCUGAGCAACCAGCCUGAC